rnacentral:rRNA from 1 species
AGGCUGAAACUCGCCUGCACUGAAGUCGGAAUUGCUAGUAAUCGCAGAUCAGCAUGCUGCGGUGAAUACGUUCCCGGGCCUUGUACACACCGCCCGUCACACCAUGGGAGUCGGUAACACCCGAAGCCUGUAGUCUAACCGCAAGGAGGACGCAGUCGAAGGUGGGAUUGAUGACUGGGGUGAAGUCGUAACAAGGUAUC